rnacentral:ribozyme from 16 species
UUUUUUUUUUUUUUUUUUGGUUUUUUUUUUUUUUUUUUUUUU